UUCGGGAACUCUGAGACAGGUGCUGCAUGGCUGUCGUCAGCUCGUGUUGUGAAAUGUUGGGUUAAGUCCCGCAACGAGCGCAACCCUUAUCCUUGUUUGCCAGCGAGUAAUGUCGGGAACUCCAGGGAGACUGCCGGUGAUAAACCGGAGGAAGGUGGGGACGACGUCAAGUCAUCAUGGCCCUUACGAGUAGGGCUACACACGUGCUACAAUGGCGCAUACAGAGGGCAGCCAACUUGCGAAAGUGAGCGAAUCCCAAAAAGUGCGUCGUAGUCCGGAUUGGAGUCUGCAACUCGACUCCAUGAAGUCGGAAUCGCUAGUAAUCGUGGAUCAGAAUGCCACGGUGAAUACGUUCCCGGGCCUUGUACACACCGCCCGUCACACCAUGGGAGUGGGCUGCAAAAGAAGUAGGUAGUUUAACCUUCGGGGGGACGCUUACCACUUUGUGGUUCAUGACUGGGGUGAAGUCGUAACAAGGUAGCGCUAGGGGAACCUGGCGCUGGAUCACCUCCUUAAACGAUGAU
rnacentral:rRNA from 1 species